UCCAUAUCUUUCUGAAUUCCCCAGCGUGAACACAAUAAGUGUGCAUCGUAGAUCAUUUGAGACCAAGCUGUUACCGCAUACAUAGCCAAAUGAUAAACAGGCUUGCUAUUUAGCCGUAAAAAUAAAUAAAUAAAAAAAGAAGUGAAAUAGUUGGUAAAAUAUAACGCUAGACAAAUUUAAGAUAAUUACCUCACGGAGUCAGACUACACGCUCGCUGACUGUUCACUAUAAACGAUGGCUACGGAAUCUGAUCGGAAUGCAUAAUAUACUGUAAAUCAUAUACAUAAAUAAUAUCAAUCAAUACCAUCACCUGAUUUGUUCUACUCAAAUAUCAUAUUAUAUGUAUAGGUUAUCUGAAUAGAACCAAUCAUGUGAUGGUAGUCAUGUUUUUAAUAUUAAUAUUACUUAACUAACACUAUUUAAUUUACAUUGAUCCACAGCACUGUUGAAUUCUCAAAUCCGAUUGGUCAGGAGGUGUUGAUUCAUUUUCUAUAACAGUAGCGGUUGCACAACAUUAAAUGUUACUAUAAAUGGAUAACAAAAAAGGGCGGCAUGCCAUUCUUUUAUUAGUAAAAACAAAUAUAAAGGUUAUGUAAAUGGAAAGGGAAACGAUGUAAACAAAAAUGUAAACAAGUGUUAAUUGGCAUUUGCUGCAAGGUUAACGAAACCCACCUGCACUGAUUAAUGUGUAUUCAGUCUGUGGCUCAAAAUAAGUCCAUGUCAAUGAGCAAAAAUUUCAAUAACAGCAUGUUCUUAGAUGUUAACAACUCUGAUCUCGAGGUGUAAAUAUCAAAAGGUGCAUUUAGUGUAGUUCCGCAAACAUGUUCAUGAAAGUGUUGGUUCAUAUUGAUCACUGCAGAUUUUCUGUUACUGAUUAAUUCUCAAAUCUGAUUGGUCAGAAGGUUAAUUUUCUAUUACAUUAUCUGAUUGGUCAGAAGGUUAAUUUUCUAUUACAUCAUCUGAUUGGUCAGAAGGUUAAUUUUCUAUUACAUCAUCUGAUUGGUCAGAAGGUUAAUUUUCUAUUACAUCAUCUGAUUGGUCAGAAGGUUAAUUUU
ensembl:lncRNA